AGAGUUUGAUCCUGGCUCAGGACGAACGCUGGCGGUGUGCUUCACACAUGCAAGUCGAACGAGGUAGCAAUACCUAGUGGCGGACGGGUGAGUAACGCGUGGGAAUCUGCCCUUGGGUAGGGGAUAGCAGGCCGAAAGUCCUAUUAAUACCGUAUAUGCCGUGAGGUAAAAGGAGUAAUCCGCCCGAGGAUGAGCCUGCGUCCGAUUAGCUAGUUGGUGGGGUAAAAGCCUACCAAGGCUACGAUCGGUAGCUGGUCUGAGAGGAUGAUCAGCCACAAUGGGACUGAGACACGGCCCAUACUCCUACGGGAGGCAGCAGUGGGGAAUUUUACGCAAUGGGGGAAACCCUGACGUAGCGACACCGCGUGAGCGAAGAAGCCUUUUGGGGUGUAAAGCUCUGUCAGCAGGAACGAAUAAAUGACGGUACCUGCAGAGGAAGCAUCGGCUAACUACGUGCCAGCAGCCGCGGUAAGACGUAGGAUGCGAGCGUUGUCCGGAUUCAUUGGGCGUAAAGAGUUCGUAGGCGGUUUGUUAAGUCUGAUGUUAGAGAUCAGGGCCCAACCCUGGGAGUGCAUUGGAUACUGGCAGACUUGAGUACAGUAGAGGCGAGUGGAAUUCCCAGUGUAGCGGUGAAAUGCGUAGA
rnacentral:rRNA from 1 species